GAUGAACGCUGGCGGCGUGCCUAAUACAUGCAAGUAGAACGCUGAAGCUUGGUGCUUGCACCGAGCGGAUGAGUUGCGAACGGGUGAGUAACGCGUAGGUAACCUGCCUCUUAGCGGGGGAUAACUAUUGGAAACGAUAGCUAAUACCGCAUAAAAGUCGAUAUCGCAUGAUAUUGAUUUGAAAGGUGCAAAUGCAUCACUAAGAGAUGGACCUGCGUUGUAUUAGCUAGUUGGUGAGGUAACGGCUCACCAAGGCGACGAUACAUAGCCGACCUGAGAGGGUGAUCGGCCACACUGGGACUGAGACACGGCCCAGACUCCUACGGGAGGCAGCAGUAGGGAAUCUUCGGCAAUGGGGGCAACCCUGACCGAGCAACGCCGCGUGAGUGAAGAAGGUUGUCGGAUCGUAAAGCUCGGUUGUAAGAGAAGAACGAGUGUGAGAGUGGAAAGUUCACACUGUGACGGUAACUUACCAGAAAGGGACGGCUAACUACGUG
rnacentral:rRNA from 1 species